GAUGAACGCUAGCUACAGGCUUAACACAUGCAAGUCGAGGGACCGGCGCACGGGUGAGUAACACGUAUCCAACCUGCCCUUUACUGGGGGAUAGCCUUUCGAAAGACAGAUUAAUACCCGAUAUAAAGGAUGGGGAUGCGUUCCAUUAGGUUGUUGGUGAGGUAUCGGCCCACCAAGCCUUCGAUGGAUAGGGGUUCUGAGAGGAAGGUCCCCCGCAUUGGAACUGGGACCCGGUCCAAACUCCUACGGGCGGCAGCAGUGAGGAAUAUUGGUCAAUGGGCGUUAGCCUGAACCAGCCAAGUAGCGUGAAGGAUGAAGGCUUAUGGGUCGUAAACUUCUUUUAUAUAAGAAUAUGUAUUAUAUGAAUAAGGAUCGGCUAACUCCGUGCCAGCAGCCGCGGUAAUUC
rnacentral:rRNA from 1 species